GGGCGGUUAGCUCAGCUGGUAGAGCGUCUCGUUGACGUCGAGAAGGCCAUAGGUUCGAGUCCUAUACCGCCCACCA
rnacentral:tRNA from 1 species